GCCUCUUCCCUCAUUUUCCGUGUUUGGGGUGAAGUUUGGCCCACGCAGGCCACGUGCUGCUUGGGUCCCUAUCAGGGAUAGCAGCACGUUGCAUAGAUUAACACCUCUGCAAACGAGUAUUAUCUUAUCACCGUCCGCAGGUGAUAUAAAACCCGGGCAGUUUUAUAUCAAUAACAAGAUAAAGAGGAAGGGUUUGGCUCCAAGUUCGUGUUUUUCUAGCAGAAAUGCCACACACAGGCUGAGGUUGCCAUUCGCAAAGGCCCCUGACCUCCUCUGAGCUGAUGAAGAAGUGUUUCUUCAGCCAGCAACAAGUGGUCUCCAAGAGACAAACUCCAAACCCGCAAAGUCAAGACCCUCCCAAAUCCGGAGGAGGGCCGAAAACGCUCCAAAGUCACCGCUCAGAGGACGACGAACCCGCGCGCGGUUUGGCAAUGCGGCCUGGCAGGCGGUGGUGUCUUGCGGGGCUCCCUCGCCCUCUGAGCGGCCGUGCCGUCACGAGCCGGCCUGGUUUCGCUCCGUGGGGACAGCCCCGCGCCGCACGUCCUGCUUGGGCCGGGCUGGUGGUGUUUGUGCGUUUAAAUAAAGGUCGAUGCGUA